CAGGAUAUAGUGUUAAUGGUAGCAUGCGUGUUUUGGGAACAUGUAGUGUUGGUUCGAGUCCAGCUAUCCUGA
rfam:Oceanibaculum pacificum strain MCCC 1A02656 contig119, whole genome shotgun sequence.